AACGAACGCUGGCGGCAUGCCUAACACAUGCAAGUCGAACGCCUGUCGCAAGACAGGAGUGGCGCACGGGUGAGUAACGCGUGGGAACCUGCCUAGUGGUAAGGAAUAACCGCGGGAAACUGCGGCUAAUACCUUAUGAGCCCUACGGGGGAAAGAUUUAUCGCCAUUAGAGGGGCCCGCGUCCGAUUAGCUAGUUGGUGAGGUAACGGCUCACCAAGGCGACGAUCGGUAGCUGGUCUGAGAGGAUGAUCAGCCACACUGGGACUGAGACACGGCCCAGACUCCUACGGGAGGCAGCAGUGGGGAGUAUCGGACAAUGGGGGCAACCCUGAUCCAGCAAUGCCGCGUGAGUGAUGAAGGCCUUAGGGUUGUAAAGCUCUUUCGACGGGGAAGAUGAUGACGGUACCCGUAGAAGAAGCCCCGGCUAACUUCGUGCCAGCCGCCGCAGUAAGAC
rnacentral:rRNA from 1 species